UGGGGAAUUUUGCGCAAUGGGCGAAAGCCUGACGCAGCGACGCCGCGUGGGGGAUGAAGGCCUUCGGGUUGUAAACCUCUUUCAGCAGGGACGAAUUCAGACGGUACCUGCAGAAGAAGCACCGGCCAACUACGUGCCAGCAGCCGCGGUAAUACGUAGGGUGCAAGCGUUGUCCGGAAUUAUUGGGCGUAAAGAGCUCGUAGGCGGUCUGUCGCGUCGGCUGUGAAAACUUGGGGCUCAACCCCAAGCCUGCAGUCGAUACGGGCAGACUAGAGUGCGGUAGGGGAGACUGGAAUUCCUGGUGUAGCGGUGAAAUGCGCAGAUAUCAGGAGGAACACCGGUGGCGAAGGCGGGUCUCUGGGCCGUAACUGACGCUGAGGAGCGAAAGCGUGGGGAGCGAACAG
rnacentral:rRNA from 1 species